AAGCAGCGGAACUAAUUGAACUGAUUGCGCACACAUGCAAAGACCCGGUUUCAUUGGGAAACCACAAAGCAGACAAGGCCACUAACCAGGCCGCACUACAACAACCAUCUGACACAUACACAAUUGAAGAAUUAGAUCUCACAAUACUAAAAGAUAUGCUGCAAUAUUGAGCCAUGGUGAAAACAUGCCUCAAUAAGUGGGGAUAGAACCUGUGAGGCUGAAACCAAGGUUGGGCCAGGAGAUUGGGUCCUAAUCAACAGCCUCCAAAGAAAACACUGCCACUUGCCCAAGUGGGACAGACCCUACAAAGUGCUACUGUCAACAUCUACCACAGUCAAAAUAGCGGAGAGAGCCACCUGGAUACAUCUAACACAUUGUAAACGAGUAAGCCUUCCUUAGAAAGAGACAGAGUAUAGGAGCUGUCUUCCUCUACAGUUUUCCAAGGCCGGAACACUGUGACAGAAGUCCAGCUACAAAGGGGAUUCUUUGCGUUAGGCAAUUUUUUGUCUCAAACCUGGUGAAGAAAACUACACUGUCCAGUGGGGUAAAAGAGCCAAGUGGAUACUGGGAGGGCGGGGCAGUCCUAUCUCUGUGAAGUCAUGGGGAGUUACAAGGGAAAAAUGAAACAAUGUGUGGAACUUUUGAUAAUAACUGUACUGCUCUACAUUUUGGUACUGUUAACAUAUUGAUCACAACAGGCACCGGUCUUGGUCAAAUGUCCGCGAUGGGGCCUACCUAAAGAUCAUCCGUGGUGAUGGGAAAACCAGACUGCCCAAACACACUUUCCACAAAGAGACUGUUUACAUUUUCCUGCCCAGUAAUAUUCAACAGCCGAUGUGAUCUGCAGAAUGCCUGAUGGGGAACAGGGCCUUCAAGGACACAGCAAAGAGGCCUUGUUUGAAUGUUAUCUGAAGCCUAGGCGAGCUAAUGACACACACACACACACACACACACACACACACACACACACACACACACACACACACACACUCACACUCGACACCCACUAUGUUGGCCUACAAAUGCAAAGUAUACAAAUGUGUGAUGUGAAAUAUGAUGAUUGACUUAUGAUGAGAUGAAAUAAUGCUCAGUAAUGAUCUCUGUUCCGAAAAUCCAUGUGAUGAAGCUCAGAG
ensembl:lncRNA